CUGUGUGUAAUACUGGUGUUYGAGACGUGACAGAUCCACAGCCAUAUUUUAAAAAAAGAGGUUGGCAUAUUCAUGAGAAUGCAAAGUUACAAAAAAUAUUUGAAGACUGGAGAAAAUGCAGAAAAUGGCCACAGCAUAUCGGGAAGUGAUGAAUGACCUGUGAUACCUGGGAGUCUGGCUUCAUGAACAGCUGCUUCCUGUGAAUAUUUCAUGGAGUCAGUUGCUGCCCCAGGAGACACAAGCACUGGAAGCUGGCUCUGCCAGGUGUAGCCACUACUUGGAUCGAACUCCCCAUCUGGGUGGGAGUAGAAGCAUAAGCACUGCCCAGGAAGGAAUUUUGCAGGAGACAGGAUCCAAAUGUAUCUCAUCUUCAGUAUCUGAAGCUGGACGAGUCAAGGAGUACCCACAUUUAAUCAAAGAGGUAGCUACAAUUCCUGCCAAACUUUCCUGUAUUUCUCCUCACAAUUUUACUGGCUUAUAGCCAUUCUUCAUUGGGAGCUUACUUCCAACUUAUUUUCUGUGCAACACAUC
rnacentral:lncRNA from 1 species